UGGGGAAUAUUGGGCAAUGGGGGGAACCCUGACCCAGCAACGCCGCGUGGAGGAAGAAGGUUUUCGGAUCGUAAACUCCUGUCCUUGGAGACGAGUAGAAGACGGUAUCCAAGGAGGAAACCCCGGCUAACUACGUGCCAGCAGCCGCGGUAAUACGUAGGGGGCAAGCGUUGUCCGGAAUAAUUGGGCGUAAAGGGCGCGUAGGCGGCUCGGUAAGUCUGGAGUGAAAGUCCUGCUUUUAAGGUGGAAAUUGCUUUGGAUACUGUCGGGCUUGAGUGCAGGAGAGGUUAGUGGAAUUCCCAGUGUAGCGGUGAAAUGCGUAGAGAUUGGGAGGAACACCAGUGGCGAAGGCGACUAACUGGACUGUAACUGACGCUGAGGCGCGAAAGUGUGGGGAGCAAACAGGAUUAGAUACCCUGGUAGU
rnacentral:rRNA from 1 species